ACACUCUAUCAGACUUCCCGACCAUAGACGCAGCAGCGCUCUGAGCCUGCGUGCGGGCGUGACCUGCACAUGCCCAGAUGGGGGAGGCGGCUGGGCUCUAGAAAGCUGGCAGCGGUCUGGCGAAUCGGGCUUCGCCACCUCGGCCCGAGAAGACGGUUUCCAGCUGGCCGUCUUUGGCGUUGAAGUCUUGCCCGACGAUUUGCCUUAACUACGAGAGAUGUAUGCUCCUAGAGUUGAAGAAAAGUACACUCCGACUGGGACUCACAGCGGCCACGCGCGUGUUCCCGGAGAUCUCGGGGCCUAGGACACGUCCUCCCUGCCUCUAUCUGGGCUCCAGGACUUGGCCUGGACACGCCAGGCUGGAGCCUCUGCCCUUGUUCUUUUAUCGAUGGCGAGGCCAGAGCAGGAGGCCCGUACCUCGUUCUCCCUACCCUAACCAAAGGGUCCAGAAUCAGCUUCUAUGUAAGCCAUGUGUUCGUCCCAGCUCUCCGGAGACCCAGGGCAGAACCUGUGAUGGCCUGGGGUGCUGUGCGCUCGUCUGCUAGAGAUAGGCCAAGGAGAAGCCUCCAGCGAGAUCCAGGCCCUAAGACAAACUAGCACCUCUGGAAUCAAAACCCAUGAACUGCAGACCACCAGCAAGUCCGAGUUUCAGUCAACUGACCAAGUGACGGACUAGACUUCCCACCACAUGCAGGUUUCAGGGCCCCACUCCUCCAACCGCUGCCCUGCCUUCCACAUGAGAAACGUGGAGAGACCAGGAAUUCAACUGGCAUUGGGAUUCUGGGAACCGCGCAACCAAACAGUGUGUUUGAUUUUCAGCACUGUCAGCCUGCAGGCUGUGGCACGCUCAGGAGUCAUCCCGCAGCACAGCCUUUGUAGCGGUCAUCGCCACCAUGACAGCACAGGGCAGGGCCACUCAGGCGCCCCAGUCACUUGCUGCAGGCUGCAGGCGGCCCCUCGUCCCGAUCAACCUCAGGUGAGAGCUAGAUAAACUGUGAGGCACCACUUCCCAUUGGCGAGGAGCUCAGCCCUGCACUGCAGCCCGAGGGCACGACCAGACCGGUCCCCAAAGUUGCAUCUUUUUGGGUCCCACCUCUGGGGCCACUCCCAGUACAAAUUCUGUAUCAGUCAGGCACGAGUCGGGAUACAAAAAAAUAAUAAUAAUACGUAUAAAAAGUUUUUCAGCAGAGGGAAUUGAAUAGGAGCGGUUGGUCGCUCAGGGAUGGGAGGGCUGAAGGAACCGAGGGAAUACAGGAAGGAGCUGCUGGCCCUCGCCAAAGGGGUGACCCUUUGGCUUUAGGUGGGAUCUCAGUUCUGCUCUCUCAUCACCGCGAGCACCUUGGAAACCGAGCCUGGCGGCUCCUCAAGCGGCCCCAGCUGCAGCCCCGCGCAUUUCCCCACCCCCACCCCCCGUUUUCAUUUACUCUGCUUCCCCAGGGAUUUCCCUCGUCCACCUGUGGGCCACCUACGCAUGUAAAUAAUGUAACUAAGCGCUUCCCGUUACGUAUUUCCUUGUCUUUCCCCCAAGCUGGACUGGCCCCCUUAGAGGGCAGGGGCUGGGUGGCAGAGAAGCACUGCUCCCAGCCUAGUGCCUAGGCAGCAGUGGGUCAUGUGAACAACACACCCCGCCCCCGCCACCGGUGACUGGGGCCGACCCGCCAGCUUGGGUCAACGAGGAACUGGCAGCAGGCAUUCAGAUUCCACCCAGAGUCUCCUCGCUCUUGUCACGCGUGCACAAGAUACGCACCACCCAGAAAGCUUCUGUUGAGAGUUUAAUAAAUUUGGUCAUGUAAAAA